CGUCCCGGUCGCCGGAGGGCCGGCGGUCACGGUCCUGGAAAGGCCGCUGCGGCCGGUCGCCCCGGUCCUGGAACGACC
rnacentral:tRNA from 1 species